GCCCGGUUAGCUCAAUCGGUAGAGCGUGAGACUCUUAAUCUCAAGGUUGCGGGUAAGUUGAUUUUCAAAAAAUCAAAAAUUCUUGCUCGCAUUUGACUAACAAAUCGACAUAGGUUCGACCCCCGCAUUGGGCU